rnacentral:misc_RNA from 1 species
CAUACUCCUCGAGGCCCGCUCGGCGUUGGGCGCGACCUGGGCGGUUGGCCCUAAAGGCAGUAGCGGCGCCGCCUGUCCCUGAGCGUAGUGUACCCCCCGCUCUAGGGCCCGGCGGCUGCACGCCAGGACCACACAUGG